GUACUUAUUUCAGCAGCACAGAUUCUAAAAUUAGAUCGAUACAGAACAGAUAAGCAUGCCUGCUGCCUAAGAAUGGCUCACAUAUUCAUGAAGCAUUCCAUAUUUGG
ensembl:snRNA U6 U6 spliceosomal RNA